AGGCUCAUUCACCGUUGGAUGAAAUAUAUUACCUCAGUGUACAAGACAUCACAGUAGAGAAGCUUGCACAGCUAAAUCUAUUCCUGUCAAAGUUGACUGGUACACAAACUGGAUUUUCAACAUGUGGACUUGUUACGAUAACCAAGGAAUUUAUUCUUACGAUAGCUGGCGUAUUCUUGACAUACUUCUUAGUACUUUAUACACUUUAGAGAAAGAAGCUAUUGAACAUCAUAAGCUUUGAAAGAAAUAAAAAGCUGUGGCACAACAUAUGUUACUCGGCAUACACUGGAGGAGCCAUAAAAUAUCAUAACUUGUAAGUACAGAAACUAUAGCACACCAUAUGUUACUCGGUAUAUACUGGAGAAGCCAUGAAAUAUCAUAAACUGUAUACAGAAACUAUAGCACAACAUAUGUUACUCGGCAUACCCUCGGGAUACACUGAAGAGGCCAUGAAAUAUCAUAAACUGUGAAUACAGAAACUAUAGCACAACAUAUGUAACUAUACAUAAACUGUUGACUCAGAAGCUACCGUGGUACAGCAUUAUGUUAGAUACAUGGAAGAUGCCAUGCCAUAUCAUAAACUGUGAUUACAGAAACUUUAGUAAAUCGUGUGUUACAAGCAUCUGUGUAUGCAACGUGUAACUUUACAUACGCUGAAAAAUACAUGGAAUUCCAUUAACUGUGUAUAGAGAAAUUGUAACACAGCCUGUUUUACUCUAUGUAUACUGAAAAAUAAAAAAAGUAUCACCUACUGUGAAUACGCAAACAGUAACAAAACAUAUGAUACACUACAUUCACCGAACAAGCUAUGGAAUAUUAUAAGACAGUGACUACAGAAACUCUAACACAAUCUUUAUUAUAUGUUCUGAAAAUAAUCUAAAUUUCAUUGGC